rnacentral:rRNA from 1 species
UACGAAGGGGGCUAGCGUUGCUCGGAAUCACUGGGCGUAAAGCGCACGUAGGCGGACUCUUAAGUCGGUGGUGAAAUCCUGGAGCUCAACUCCAGAACUGCCUUCGAUACUGGGAGUCUCGAGUUCGGGAGAGGUGAGUGGAAUUCCGAGUGUAGAGGUGAAAUUCGUAGAUAUUCGGAAGAACACCAGUGGCGAAGGCGGCUCACUGGACUGGUAUUGACGCUGAGGUGCGAAAGCGUGGGGAGCAAACAGG